rnacentral:rRNA from 1 species
UACAGAGGUGGCAAGCGUUGUUCGGAAUUACUGGGCGUAAAGGGCGCGUAGGCGGCCUUCUAAGUCAGACGUGAAAUCCCCCGGCUUAACCUGGGAACUGCGUCUGAUACUGGAAGGCUUGAGUGCGGGAGAGGGAUGUGGAAUUCCAGGUGUAGCGGUGAAAUGCGUAGAUAUCUGGAGGAACACCGGUGGCGAAGGCGGCAUCCUGGACCGACACCGACGCUGAGGCGCGAAAGCUAGGGUAGCAAACGGG